ensembl:lncRNA
UCUCACCGACCGUCUUAGACUUCUCACAACUGUCUCGCAGAAAGUCCCACGACAGUCCCACGACAGUCUCACGACAGUCUCACGACUGUUCCACGACUGUCUCACGACUGUCCUACGACAGUCCCAUGACUGUCUCACGACUGUCUCACGACUGUCUCACGACAGUCCCACGACAGUCUCACGACUGUUCCACGACAGUCCCACGACAGUCUCACGACUGUUCCACGACUGUUCCACGACUGUCCCACGACUGUCCCACGACUGUCCCACGACUUCUCACGACUGUCUCACGACAGUCCCACGACAGUCUCACGACUGUUCCACGACAGUCCCACGACAGUCUCACGACUGUUCCACGACUGUCCCACGACUGUCCCACGACUGUCUCACGACUGUCCCACGACAGUCCCACGACAGUCUCACGACUGUCCUACGACAGUCUCACGACUGUUCCACGACAGUCCCAUGACUGUCCCACCAACUGUCUUACGGACUGUUCCACGACUGUCUCAGGCUUUGUCAGGCAUUGGAUGUAUACUGUUGUUUUGCCUAAAGAUGUUGUUGAAGGCUUGGCCCACGCGGCUGAAGAACUUGCAGAUACCGCUUCUC